rnacentral:tRNA from 1 species
UGAGCUAUCGACUAAUCGGCAAGUCACCUAGAUUUGGUCUAGUUCAUACACGUUCGAGUCGUGUUAGCUCAG